rnacentral:rRNA from 1 species
CAAUAGCGUAUAUUAAAGUUGUUGCGGUUAAAAGCUCGUAGUUGGAUUUCUGUUGAGGAUGGGCGGUCCGCACAUCGUGCGUGUAUCUGUUACAGCCUCGGCAUCCUCUUGAAGAACGAACUGUGAUUUAUUUCGUGGUUCGGAAUUCAAGACUUUUACUUUGAGGAAAUUAGAGUGUUCACGGCAAGCAAUCGCUUUGAAUACAUUAGCAUGGAAUAAUAAUAUAGGGCGUAAGUUCUAUCUUGUUGGUUUCUAGAACAUACGCAAUGAUUAAUAGGGACAAUUGGGGGCAUUCGUAUUAACGCGUCAGAGGUGGAAUUCUUAGAUUGCGUUACGACGAACUACUGCGAAAGCAUUUGCCAAGGAUGUUUUCAUUGAUCAAGAACGAAAGUAUGGGGAUCGAAGACGAUUAGAUACCAU